GGGCAGUUAGCUCAGCGGCAGAGCAUUGCAUUCACAUUGCAGGGGUCACAGGUUCAAAUCCUGUACUGCCCACAA
rnacentral:tRNA from 3 species